rnacentral:rRNA from 1 species
GACGAACGCUGGCGGCGUGCCUAAUACAUGCAAGUUGAGCGCUGAAGGUUGGUACUUGUACCAACUGGAUGAGCAGCGAACGGGUGAGUAACGCGUGGGGAAUCUGCCUUUGAGCGGGGGACAACAUUUGGAAACGAAUGCUAAUACCGCAUAAAAACUUUAAACACAAGUUUUAAGAUUGAAAGAUGCAAUUGCAUCACUCAAAGAUGAUCCCGCGUUGUCUUAGCUAGUUGGUAAGGUAAAGGCUCACCAAGGCAAUGAUACAUAGCCGACCUGAGAGGGGGAGCGGACACAAUGGAACUGAGAAACGGUCCAGACUCAUACGGGAGGAAGAAGUAGGGAAUAUUCCGCAAUGGGCGAAAGCCUGACGGAGCAACGCUGCGUGAGUGAUGAAGGUCUUCGGAUCGUAAAACUCUGUUAUUAGGGAAGAACAGAUGGGUAAGUAACUGUGCACAUCUUGACGGUACCUAAUCAGAAAGACACGGCUAACUACGUG